GGCCCUGUGGCCCCCGGCGGGACCAGCCGGGGGUCCGGGCGAGAGCGGCCCCGCCCACGGCGGGAAGAUGCCUAGUGUGUGACAGCAGGGAA